AGCCUUCUGCUGCCUGCCACAGGCUGUGCUCUUACAUUCACCAUACAGAGAGAGGAGGCAAAGUGAGCCUGCCCCCACGCCCGCCUCAGCCCGGGCCACCGUGCCUGGUCUGAUUGUGAAUGGGGAGACAUAG
ensembl:snoRNA